GACGAACGCUGGCGGCGUGCUUAACACAUGCAAGUCGAACGGAAAGGCCCUGCUCUUGUGGGGUGCUCGAGUGGCGAACGGGUGAGUAACACGAGAGUAACCUGCCCUUGACUCUGGGUUAACUUCAGGAAACUGGGGCUAAUACCGGAUAGGAGCUCCUGCUGCAUGGUGGGGGUUGGAAAGUUUCGGCGGUUGGGGAGGGACUCGCGGCUUAUCAGCUUGUUGGUGGGGUUGUGGCUUACCAAGGCUUUGACGGGUAGCCGGCCUGAGAGGGUGACCGGCCACAUUGGGACUGAGAUACGGCCCAGACGCCUACGGGAGGCAGCAGUGGGGAAUAGUGCACAGUGGGCGGAAGCCGGAUGCAGCAACGCCGCGCGCGGGAUGACGGCCUUCGGGUUGUAAACCGCUUUCGCCUGUGACGAAGCGUGAGUGACGGUAACGGGUAAAGAAGCACCGGCUAACUACGUG
rnacentral:rRNA from 1 species